UACCCAAGCAGGACUGACAUUCCUCCAGGCAGUCACAGCUGCAAAGGUCUUUUGUCUGCGCCUCCAGCGCUUUAGCACAACCUGGGGAUGAUGGGGCCUUCCAGAACUGCAGGCUGGGCCCGGCUUUCCUCUCAGACCUGUGUGGGUUUCUAAGAAUCAGUCACUUGCAGUCAAUUUCAGUUUGGAAAUAUGAAGUAGAAGAUUCCAGAAAUAAACAAUUGCAUGCUGUUCUAAGUAGAGUGAAGAAAUCUUGCCCUGUCUCACUGUUUCACCAGGGACCUGACUCAUCCCUUUGUCAAGUUCAUCCAUGCGUACAAGGUCCCCAACGGCCUGGACUCUUGGCAUCCUACUAAAUCCAGAGACCUGGCUGGAUCAUGAAAAGACUGACUGUUUGACUUGACAGUCUCACUAUUGUCUACUGAAAUUUUACCAGUAAGUUCAAGUGACAGCUGGAGAACAUAGCAGAGAAAAGGUUUCCACUAUCAGCGGCCGCAGCAAUCUGGGCUCAUUAUUAAGGUUCAGAGGGGCUGGAAACUCAAAUAGGCUGAGUCUUGGUGAAGUCAAACAUCAACUGAUUCUCAGCACAUUGUCAAUACCACGGGCUUGCCA